CCGGUAUUUUGGUAAGCUGUGGUGGUAUUUACAUAUCCCGGGGUAGAACUCUCUAAUGUGGGAAGUAGGAGUUCCCAGUUAUCAUGAAGUAUCAACAACAACAGAGACUUCAACGGUGGGAACACACGUUCAACGUAGAGGUUCAUCCCUGGUAGCGAGCGAGCUAACUGCUAACAACCCGGCUAAGCAGUUUUCUAAAAAAUGAUGAGGAUGAUGAACCCCACUGUUCAUAAGCCCCAUCCUGAUCGAGAACCUCGUGUUCAUCCAUGCAGGCCAGGGGAUGCUGGUGUCUUCCACGGUGACAAUGACCUGGCUGGUGGUGAUAGUAUAACUAUUCCUGGCCCUCUGAUGAGCAAUAAAAUGCAGCUUGACGACCUGGUUUAUUUCAUCCAGAGGAAAUCUCAGGAGUGUGUACAACAUGUGGAUGAACCUGAGCAAAGGAGGCCUAUUUCUUCUGGCAGAUAAUGGAGUUGCUCUGCAUCAGAAAUGGUGUAAGUGUUGUAGUUCAUUACGUGCUGAUUGUUUAAGCCAAAUUAUGAAUGAUAAAUGUAUCAAGAGAUUUUUAUGCAAGAAAGUAAACAUCCUCUGAAUUGUAAGUGCAUGAAUGAAUAAAUAUACAAUAGAUUAAACUUAAAGGCGUUUCUUUUACUGGAUGUAAUGCUGGCUGAAGUCGAUACGCUCCUCUUCAAGGGCUAUGGUUUUCUGAGGGAAGGUAUCAAAAAGUUAGUUUAUUUACACAGCAGCAUUACAACCUUCUGUAUUGUGUAUUGAAAUUGUGUAUUUUUGUGAUGACUGACGUGACAAUUCCUACUACAGCUUGGUACGGUUAAGAACCAGGAUGGUUGGUGUCUUCCUCUGGCACAACUUUUAUGCUCCGCUAAACCACAACAUGAGAACUUAAAUGCUGUGGUUAAAAUGGGAUAAAAGCUUGGUAUGGAUUAGUAACGGUAUUUUUCAGGCAUUCACAUAUUGUAAAUAUAUUCAAUUCAAUUCAAUUCAAUUCAAUUCAAUUUUAUUUGUAUAGCGCUUUUUACAAUAGACAUUGUCUCAAAGCAGCUUUACAGAAAUAUCAACAUGAACUAUGUUUCACAGACCCUGAAUAAUGUUGACAUGUAUGACAUAACAUGGUCAGAAAAUAUCAAACAUAGCUCAUAUUUCACUUAAAAUAAUUAACCGUUUGAAUAAAUUCUUAUUCAAACUUAAUAAAUAAAAGGAUCAACUCAAAAUAUUUUUUUAGUAGAUCCUCUUUUAUCAUUCAACUUUUGUAACUUUCAGUCAUUUGGUUAAACAGCGCCCUCUGGUGGUAAUCCUUUUGAAAAUGUUAUGUCAAAUUGACACAUGCAUGAGCAACACCCGGAACAACCGAUAAUACAGCAACACGGAAGAAUGGACAUAAUCACAAGUAAUAAGGUGAAGCUUAUUAAAUGGUUACGCGUAGACGAAUACAUUUUGCAGCACGUCCAUUCUAGGAAGUUGAUAACCUGGGAUGAAUACACGAAACUGAAAAGCAUCUCAGACCAUGGAACCCACAUAACCGAACUCUUGGACCUAAUAUUGCAAAAGGGACAAAGUGUGUGCAUGGACUUUGUAAAAUUGCUGAAAGAAGACGAUGUGAAUGAAAGCAGCCCGGAGCUGAAGGAGUGGAUAACUUCAGUAAAUACCUCCUCAGAUAACUCAAGAAUUUCUUGCUGGUAUCGACACUGCUGGUUGUUCUCUCUCUAAUUGCAAAGCCCUAUUG